GAACACGCAGGUUCCAUUUUGUUAGUCACGGGGAUGUUCUCCAUGAUUUUGAGUUUUGUUUUAGUCAUCAGAUCAAUCAGAAUGGAAAAACUCAAAUUAGUUCUCACAUCAACCGCGAUUGCAAAACUCAAAUUACGGAGUAGGGAAAACUGAGAAACCGAAUUGCGAACGAGAUUAGAGAGAGAAACGGGAACAAAAACUCUUGAGUUUCUCAUUUGAGUUGCCUAGAGAAUUCUCCAAAGUCUUAAUAGAAUCAUAAAUUAGAGGAAUUGGAUGGUUUCAUGAUGAUGAUUCUGGAUUUCAAGAUGUGUACAUUACUAAAAUUUGGGUUGAUCACUAUAUCUAGAUGGUUUCAUGAUGAUGAUUCUGGAUUUCAAGAUGUGCAUAUUAAGAGAUAUGGGUUGAUCACUGCUCUGGAUGGAUUCUUGGGGGUUGAUUGGAUACCAGAAUGUCCAGACUAACAAAGAUCAGAGAUGUCUCUCAAGUGCACCUCAACAAUCAUUAUUAUUGGAUCUCCUAAGAAGAAUUUGGUGAUGAAUUUCACCGAUGUCUCAAAUUCAUUGGAAGCAUUCGUGAAAGCCAAACAGGUUUGAAUCUCCAAAUUUAUUUUGAUUUGUUGGCUUUUUGUUUGGGAUUUGGUUUGUUUUCAUUGAGAAUCUGAGCAUUUCAUUUUAAAAAUUAGAGCCAGCUUAGUGUUGAUUGGUUUGUCUUCAGUUGCAUAUUUACCAUCAAUGUGUUUUUUUUGGGAGACACAUAGAACUAUCUAGUGUUCAAUUUGUAGUUCAUGAUUUCGGGAUCGAAGCAGCAACAAGGUUCUUUCUUUCGUACCUAGAAUUCAAUCAUGCAUGCAUGUCUUUUAAUAUCAAGUUUCAGUAGUUUGGUCUUCAAAAUCAUGUCUCUUAUUAUACUGCUUCACAAUCCAAACCAUUUCAGAAUGUAUGAAGCAGUACAAAGUUUUAUAUCUGCAUUAAAAUUUAGCACCAGUGAUUCCAUGUCCCCUCUGUAAGUUUUGAACACUUAAUUUACAUCUUUUUAACUCAUGAUUUCCAUCGAAUUUAGACACUUCAUUUCUUUUCCAGUGUCUAAGCAGCAUUGGUUUUCAUAUAAGUAGUUGGACCUGAUGCAGUUGAUUCAGAGCAAAGAAUGGAAACAAACAUAUACAGUAAGUCACUUUUUAUCCUUUUACAUCCCAUAAUAUUAACCACUUCUUUUUUUUUAAAAAAAACCCAUUGGUUCUGGCCAACUUCCAUGCUAAAAAUUGACCUUCAUGGUUCAACAUUUUGUUUGUUGGGUGUUUUUUCUGAAAUCGAUACUUCGCGUAAGGUUUGAAACUCUUCUUACCAUGUUUAUUGGUAUUUCGGAGAAAAACAUUACUCAUCGCACUUAAUUGCAGUCUUUACCAAACUGCGGUGGUCAUUUGUGAUCCAGUCCAUUUUUUUCCAUGAUGUGCAGCUCAUCUUAGAAUUAAGUAGCCAUCAGUUUUAUCCUUUCUCUUUCUCUGCUUCUUCGGAGAUUAUGUCGCACUGUUCAGUCAUAAUUUGCGCCUUAUGUAAGUUUUUCAUUCACAUUAAUUUAACAUCAAAAUUGUUGGUUUAUUUAUGUUAUGUUCUUAUCUACCCUGAAAUAUUAUGGGUUCUAUCCUCUGCCAAAUUUUUUCCAUCUUCUCCAUGUAAUUGAUUUUGUCCAUGCAGGGUCAGCAAAGGCGACCGUUUUACCACUUUAGGAAGAGACGUCAUGUUGUCCCUUAACCGGGUUCAUGUCUCAUAAUCCUUAACAAAGAUUAUGGUGAACAAACAAAGAAUGAUGAAAACACUUAAGCUAUCUACCAACUCGGCGACGGCAAUGCAUAUUAAAUGAAAUAGGCCGAGGUCCUACCGAAAGACGGAUCCGACCCUGUAGUUUUCAAAACCGUUCCAGAUGUUCACGAAAAUUCUCAACAAACAUGACAUAAGCAUUCCAUAUUGGGCUCUUUUAAUACCAAUAGUUGACUCAUGGGGUGAAUGGGAUUUCUUUGGUUGCAUUUAUCUAAGAUGUUAGUAAAAUCAGCUGCACAACACCCGGAUCAAUUAGGCUGAUCAUUUGUAAGUAGUGCAUGAAUCAAAUGUGAAGUGUGACCCUCAUAACAGUUCUUAAGUCUCUUUGGGUAUAUAUAUUUGUCCUACGUUAUGUGUACCUACAUGCGGCAACACAGUACGUAUAUUCUAAUGUUUAUCGUGAUAUGUGUACUAAGUUCAGCAUCAUUCAUCGUUUACAUCAUCAA